rnacentral:rRNA from 1 species
CGGGGGCGGCUAUACAUGCAAGUCGAGCGGACAGAAGGGAGCUUGCUCCCGGAUGUUAGCGGCGGACGGGUGAGUAACACGUGGGUAACCUGCCUGUAAGACUGGGAUAACUCCGGGAAACCGGAGCUAAUACCGGAUAGUUCCUUGAACCGCAUGGUUCAAGGAUGAAAGACGGUUUCGGCUGUCACUUACAGAUGGACCCGCGGCGCAUUAGCUAGUUGGUGAGGUAACGGCUCACCAAGGCGACGAUGCGUAGCCGACCUGAGAGGGUGAUCGGCCACACUGGGACUGAGACACGGCCCAGACUCCUACGGGAGGCAGCAGUAGGGAAUCUUCCGCAAUGGACGAAAGUCUGACGGAGCAACGCCGCGUGAGUGAUGAAGGUUUUCGGAUCGUAAAGCUCUGUUGUUAGGGAAGAACAAGUGCAAGAGUAACUGCUUGCACCUUGACGGUACCUAACCAGAAAGCCACGGCUAACUACGUGCCAGCAGCCGCGGUAAUACGUAGGUGGCAAGCGUUGUCCGGAAUUAUUGGGCGUAAAGGGCUCGCAGGCGGUUUCUUAAGUCUGAUGUGAAAGCCCCCGGCUCAACCGGGGAGGGUCAUUGGAAACUGGGAAACUUGAGUGCAGAAGAGGAGAGUGGAAUUCCACGUGUAGCGGUGAAAUGCGUAGAGAUGUGGAGGAACACCAGUGGCGAAGGCGACUCUCUGGUCUGUAACUGACGCUGAGGAGCGAAAGCGUGGGGAGCGAACAGGAUUAGAUAUUCUGUGUGAUAUUCAAA